UACGAAGGGGGCUAGCGUUGCUCGGAAUCACUGGGCGUAAAGGGUGCGUAGGCGGGUUCUAAGUCAGAGGUGAAAGCCUGGAGCUCAACUCCAGAACUGCCUUUGAUACUGGAAGUCUUGAGUUCGGGAGAGGUGAGUGGAACUGCGAGUGUAGAGGUGAAAUUCGUAGAUAUUCGGAAGAACACCAGUGGCGAAGGCGACUCACUGGACACGUAUUGACGCUGAGGAGCGAAAGCCAGGGGAGCAAAGCGGGG
rnacentral:rRNA from 1 species